UUGGCAGAACAGAAUUGCUGCUGCUUCUACUUUCUUUUGUUAUCUUCAGUGGGAUGAGCUUCCUCUGGAAGUCUUCCAACUUUACGGUAGAGAAAAUGAUUGUCCCCCCAAAGAAAAUGUGGACCCCUCCUACUGGUCUAGUUAAGCCUCCGGCUUCCUGCACAUGCCCAGCGAAGUCAUUCGAUCUGGCAGGGAGCAUUCCCACUGUCAACCGAGCAGACAUUCAGAAACGACGGGCAGAGGAGUACAAGAAGCACCAGGCGAGAACAAGCUCCAUUUUGAACACACUCCUCUUUGCUCAAUCCAACUCUCCACUGCAGUAUCCCAUUCAGGGUUUCACAGUACGCCCCUUGGUCCCCACUCUCAUUCCAGGUACUGUACGCUGCACUUCAGUGGUUCAAUAAAAUCGUCCCGAUACUGCUCUUUAGUUCAGUUGCUUUGCAAGUGCACUGCACAGAUAUACAUAUAGAGUGCAAUGUGCUUUUUCGGUCUGCUUUUUAUGUUCAAUGUAUUCCUCAGGAAAUAGUUUCACCCUGAAAGAUAAUUUGUUUCAGGUUUAGCGUUGCACGGGGUUCAAAGAA